rnacentral:lncRNA from 1 species
GUGGAAAAUCUCCCAUAGAAUUCAACCACCCAGCUUCUCUCCAGAUGGCAUCCCAUCAUCCGCAGCAUCUCUCAACCUUUAUCUCCUAUCUCCUGCCUCAUCUCCUUCCUAAGUAAAGAACACCUUCCAACUCAACAUAAGGCAGCUACAGGUUGGAGUGCAAUGGCGCAAUCUUGGCUCACGACAACCUCCGCCUCCCGGGUAUAAGUGAUUCUCCUGCCUCGGCCUCCCGAGUAGCUGAGAUUACAGCCUUAAACCGAUUAAAUGAAGUCUUGACAGCCAGCAGCCUGCAUCCACUACAGAAAAAACGACACCUUGAAUCACACCUUCACUUGAAUUCAGUUGAGUUCCAGUGACUACCACCUCUGUGCUUUGUCAACUUUGGGUUGAGUCCUUUCCUGAAAACACAUCAGUGUAACUAAGAAGUCACUGCUGUUUCUUGGAGUUGGGUUGGAAUAGUUGGAGUGGGAGCCAGGAUGGUUGGAAAACAAACCACACAUAUUGCUGCUUCUGGAAGCUUUGUUCUUUAAUGAGCCAUGGGGUGAUUUGUUCAUCAAGCUGCUUUUGUGUAGCCAUACAGUGCAUAUUUUGAGUGACACAAACUGCACUUUAUACAGAUGGUAUCUUGUUACCCCUCAACCCCCCAGCAAAGAAAAAAAAACAAAAAGGAAAUUACAAAGUGCCUAUUGAUUGCAUCCGGAAUGUAAUCAGUUCCGUGGGUGAGAUAAAUCAUUCUUCUUAUAGAAUUAUUCUAUUAAACAGUAAAAUGUUAUAUUUCACAGGAUAUGUCCUUUUAUAAUACAGUUUUUAAAAAAAAUUUACACUCAGCAUACUUAUAAAUUACUUAAAAUCCAUUAAAAUAAUAUAAUACGAAUCUGUAGUCCACACCUUUCCCAUAGUAAAUACAAAUACUUGGUUCAAAAGGUGCAACUUUUAUAUGACCUCAGAGGGCUGAUAAAUAGGCAUUAAGAAUGGAUGACUAGCAAGGUGACAGGCCCAUUGUUGGGGCUUUUUUGAAAAUAGUUUCAACCAGGGGACCAACAUGAGACCUAAUAGAUCCAUCUCCACAAUCAUCAUUUUGCUGUUACCCUUUCAAUACCCAAUCAAAUGUGGGAGUCAUUCCAGAGAAAAGUGGUUAAAAGUAGUCUAGGGCAUAGAAAAAGAGGACUCUCACAGAUACCAAGGAGUUUUACUACCAAGGCCAGCAUGGUAUUGCAGGACAGUGCUGGGGAGUUGUCACAAGAGUAUGGGUGGACAUAACACAUUUGUCCAUACAGAAUGAUGCAUGCCCCGCAUCCAGCUUCCCACCAAGAAGAAAAAAGAGAGGAGGAUGAGGAAAGCCAUGGAGUGAGUAUGUAUGUUUCUUUUUAAAAUGAAAACUCUCUUAGCUUUGAACACAUCCUGAGAAUCCUUUCUUCUUUCUAGUUUACCAAAGUGCUUGUUACAGUGAAAAACACAGCCCACAGGCACUGAGGUGGGACUACAGAACCUUGCUGGACCACAUCUUUUCAGCACAUUUCUGUGACCCUCUGUUUUUGAUGGAGAAAACAACGCUACUGUUAUGAAACACAGAAUGGAGUCUUCAUUAAUCUUCCAGCAGGGUAAGUGCUCUGGCAGGUUUCCAAAGCAUGAGAAGGUGGGGGCUCUAGUAUUCCAUCCCAGGACCUCUGGCCCUUUUGUCUCUCUCUGCAAGGCUCAUAGUUGGAGGGCUGUAUCUCCCUUUGUGUUUUCAGAAGCCCAGAGUGGCAAAAUAAUUUAAAUGGCAGGAGGUACAAAGUACGUUGUAAACUAAGCCUCCCUGAAUCCUGCUGUAUUUGCUGUUGAUUUGCUUCAAUUUGUGAUACAGAAUGAAAUCACACUUCUCUGCUUUUGUUACAUUUUCCAUAAUAAGUACAUACUAAAUUACAGGGAUACAUUCACUUUAAUGGGCAGAGUUGAAAAUUCAGGUUUUGUUUGGGGCUGGGAAUGUGUGCUGUGAGAAGAGUGCUCUGCAUUUUGGAGUAUGGGCUCCAAAUGUGGAGCUGCCCCACUGCUGCCAUGCAGAGAUCAAACAAGCAAAGGAGAAGCACUAUGGAACCACAAAUGUGAUGCAUAUUAAGGGCUAACAGUUUCAUAAGUGAUUGUAAUGCGGCAUCACUUUGUGGUGACAUAACUUUACCAUGCAGAGGGCCAGUGAGAACAGAUGGAUGCAGACACAGCGUUUGGUUCUGAAGGUUUUUAAGAGUUAUGGCUUCAUCUCUUGAUCAGGCCAACAAGGCCUACUACCCUAUGUAAACAACGGCUUUCCCUCAAAGGGAGGGCCCCACACUGCUCUCCACUCUUAUCAUUUUGUGGCUCUCUCCUCCUCACCCACCCACCCCAAUCCUGGCAGAUUAAAUUACUAGAAAUCCACAAAUCUAGCAACUGAAAAAACAAGUUUUUUUAAUUGAAUUUUAUCCAAACUGGAGUUUCAGGUCCCUGAGAAAAAUUAUAAAGUCUCUUAACAUCCAUCACCUAGUUCCUUUAAAGUGACCUACAUCAGUCGUUUUUUAACUGCCAAAAAACUUAUUUUGCCAAAAAAGCCCCACAAAGAUUUAGAAGGAAGAACAUGUGCCAACAUAUGUUCUUCUGGCCAUUCCUCUGGGCCACAGGAAAUUAUUCCAUAAGGGCAAUCUCUUUUUUUCAUACAGGAUUUAACCAACAUUCUGGAGCAAGUGCAGAGUAACAAUUAAUGCCCAGCAGUACACUACUCUCCCAAGAACACUGAAACACAGACUGUGCAACCUGGCACGGGGCUGAGGAACCAGCAAUCCCACUCUAACACACCAUGCUGAGGGGUUUUCCUCUAUCCUCUAGGAGAUUCUCUGAAAUUCAGAUUUUUAAAAGCUUAACAUUAUUUAUUACUCCUCAGGACAAGAUGAACAAGGUGGCAGAUGUCUGUGGGAUAUAAAGCAUAACAUUUGCUCAUUAACUAUCAUUAUUCUGGAGAUUUUAAUGGCUUCCUUUCUCUGGCUCAAUUCUGAACCCAAAGUAGGGAGAGGUAAGACUCCUGCUACCUUUAGCUGCCACUCAGAAUUAUGCUCCAAGUCUAACCUCUGGGGCUGGCCAAUAACCACUGAGGCAGUGGCGUGAGGUUCAGUGUUGUGUAACAGGAGAGAGAGACUCUGCCUUAACAAAAGACUUAAUAUUUCCACAACUUCAAAGAAGUAUGAAAAGGAAGAAUACCCAAAAUACAGGUUAUAGAUGGUAAAGGCUCUUUUUCAGAGCAGUGCAUGUAGUAGCAAGACAAGAUGCAUUUAGUAACUUUAAAAAUAAACAUUUCACAUACUUAUCUCAAGAAAGGCUAUCAUGUUUCAUUUUUUAUAUAUUAUAAAUAGCAAAAACAGAUUUCUAAUCCCACAAAUGCUAAGAUACUUAAAAUGCUAUUAUAACUCAUGUGUAUGAAGACCACCCAGUGGUGAAAAUGAUGUCUUACUAAUUCCCUCAACCCAGGGACGAAUGGCUCUCAUCCCCCUGUCCAGUGGCCCCUCAUCUGUGGGAAGAAAUUCCAUGGGAAGGAGGGAAGCACAAGGUUAAAAAGAAAUAUGCCUACUAUACAUACAUAUUUACAAUAAACUUCAGUAACCAGAAUAUUAACAAAAAUAGCUUCAAGUAGUCCUUGAUUUUUUUCCAUCUAUUUAAUACUGAUAGUCUGAGAAAAGGAAGAUAAAAGUUAGUUAGUUAGAUAGGUCAUAUUAAAAACCUUUUUAUUUUUUGGCAGCUUUCUGUAACACUUACUUACUUAUUCAUGCAAUAUUGUAUGUGAAUGUUUUUGGAAACUAACUAAACGGUCACAUUAUUUGUUUGUUUGUUUGAGUCUGAGUCUGUGGUGGGAAUCCACCAGCAGAUGAACAGGCUCAUAUGCGGUUUUCGGUUUAAUCUAUACAAAGAGAAAAGCCUGAAUGGCUUAGGAUGAAACCUUCAUAAGUUUAGGGAUCACCAUGUCUCUGGGAAACUAAAAAAUAAUGUAGAAGAAUCUGAUCCUAGGACCAAGAAACAUGAGAACAGUAUGGCUACUGACACUUCAGCCCAUGCAAUGUAUUUGGCAGGAACUAAACAGGAGUUAAACCAGCACUGAUUACUAUGACAUCAAACAUCAUCAAAAAAAAUAGGUAUUCUCUUCUUCACUGUAUAACAAGAUAUCUGAGACACGCUCUGAUGGCUUAAUGGAAACAAUCACGGUUUUUUUUUGUUUUUUUUUUUUUGUUUUUUUUUUUUGUUUUUGCUUUCCCCAGAAUAUAACAUGGAGUGUUUUUUCAGAAAUCUUAAAAUAGAGGGAUUAGGCUUUUUGUUUGUAAGUAAGUUUUUGGAAAAAAAUUAUAUUCUACCCUAGCUCCUAACUAUCCCAAAAUAAACCCAAAGGCUUUUGCUUUCACGGUUAAGAAAGAUUUAUACGUUUUCUUCAAAUGUCAGAAAUGAGAGGGUCCCUCAGGACAGCAAUAUCCCCCCUAGUUCAACACCCACCUUUGGGAAGGGAAAAGAGGGUGGGGGAGAGGCAACUACAACUGACCCAAAUCCCCAGGCCCUAGGUGGCUUUGUAUAGUAAAAAUCUCAAUUCAAAUACAACAGCCAAGGCACAGCUGGCACCAUCCCCAGCAGGCUUUCUGCUUCUGCAGGAGGCCCAGGAAUUCAGCACAUACAGUCUUAGCCAUAUGCUUAGAAAAGAGGCAGGACCACAAUUAGGAUUGACUAUUGUGGACGAGGUGAUGAAACGCAGCCCCAAAGGUGAGAUUUGUUUACCACUCUGUAGCCACGGAGGGACACACAUCUGCCGGUUCAGACCAUAAAUUCAUUAUUUCCAAAGAGUGCUAGCUGUUGGUUGGAGGUGCAGUCUGGGUCCACAGUUUUUCUGCGGCCAGACAUGACUGUCCCCUCUGGGGUCUCUUUGGUUUUCUGAGGUGAGUUUUUCACAUUCUUUAAUUUUUGUUUGCCCUUUUCCGGGUUGAAGGUUCCUCUGCUGAUGAACUGAGGCUUGUCUUCCAGGAAUUUGGUCUGGCCCAAUGGUCCUUCCAUUCCCAGGGCCUCAUUACCUGAGGCAGCUCGGUAGAAUGGAGAUUUGGAAUAAAUCUGAAAUAGUUUUCUGGUCCCAUGAGAUGAUGCCGUGUUAGACAGACAUAAAGAGGAGACCGAAGAGUCCACGACAUCUAAAGAGUCUUGCUGCUUUUUAAGUUGCUUUCGCAACUUGCUGGAAGGUUCAGACUUGCCAGCUGUCUUCAGGGAGCUAAGGGCUAAGCUUCUUUCUAAUGCAAAAAAGAGACCAAAGAUGUAAAUGACAGUGCCCUCUAAAGCAAAUCAUCAUAUAAUGAAUAGAUGCCACUGUUCACACAUGAAAUUGGGUGGGAUAAGAUUCAGAGGGUCCAGGAUGACUUACUAUGGGCACAGUCACAGUAAGAGCUCACCAUCCAUUUCUCUAUGUAGCAUUUCCGAAUCAUCUCCAAGGAAAUCUGGUGUUUGACUAUGCCAUCAGCGGAGGCCUAGAACAGUCACUAUCAUUUCAAAAACUGCCAGGAUAUGCAGGUAAGUCCUACAUCUCCCUGAGACAUGCCACCCAGUUAAACACCUCCUUUGUAUAUGUAUAUAGUCCCACCUCACAGUGGGGGCACAAUGCCUGCCACCCUCAGAAAAUGGGUUAUGGGUCAGUAAGACAACAUAUAUUGUGAUUAUUGGCUUUUCUCUGUGGUAAGUACAGG